GUACUGAAUAACUCAGUUGGUUAGAGUGUGGUGUUGAUAACACCAAGGUUGCAGGUUUGAUUCCCAUAUGGGACG
rnacentral:tRNA from 1 species